UGGGGAAUAUUGGACAAUGGGUUAGCGCCUGAUCCAGCCAUCCCGCGUGAAGGACGACUGCCCUAUGGGUUGUAAACUUCUUUUGUACAGGGAUAAACCUACUCUCGUGAGAGUAGCUGAAGGUACUGUACGAAUAAGCACCGGCUAACUCCGUGCCAGCAGCCGCGGUAAUACGGAGGGUGCAAGCGUUAUCCGGAUUUAUUGGGUUUAAAGGGUCCGUAGGCGGAUCUGUAAGUCAGUGGUGAAAUCUCAUAGCUUAACUAUGAAACUGCCAUUGAUACUGCAGGUCUUGAGUAAAGUAGAAGUGGCUGGAAUAAGUAGUGUAGCGGUGAAAUGCAUAGAUAUUACUUAGAACACCAAUUGCGAAGGCAGGUCACUAUGUUUUAACUGACGCUGAUGGACGAAAGCGUGGGGAGCGAACAGG
rnacentral:rRNA from 1 species